rnacentral:rRNA from 1 species
AGUGAACGCUGGCGGUAGGCCUAACACAUGCAAGUCGAACGGCAGCACAGUAAGAGCUUGCUCUUACGGGUGGCGAGUGGCGGACGGGUGAGGAAUACAUCGGAAUCUACUUUUUCGGGGGGGAUAACGUAGGGAAACUUACGCUAAUACCGCAUACGACCUACGGGUGAAAGCAGGGGAUCUUCUGACCUUGCGCGAUUGAAUGGGCCGAUGUGGGGUUGGCUAGUUGGGGGGGUAAACGCCCACCAAGGCGACGAUCCGUAGCUGGUGUGAGAGGAUGGUCGCCGACAUUGGAAGUGAGACGGCGUCCAGACUCCUACGGGAGGGAGCAGUCGGGAAUAUUGGGCAAAGGGCGCAAGCCUGAUCCAGCCAUACCGAGUGGGUGAAGAAGGCCUUCGGGUUGUAAAGCCCUUUUGUUGGGAAAGAAAAGCAGCAGGUUAAUACCCCGCUGUUCUGACGGUACCCAAAGAAUAAGCACCGGCUAACUUCGUG